GCUGUUAUAGCUCAGUUGGUAGAGCACAUCCUUGGUAAGGAUGAGGUCAUCAGUUCGACUCUGAUUAACAGCUCCA
rnacentral:tRNA from 2 species